rnacentral:rRNA from 1 species
ACGCUCGACACCUACGGGAGGCAGCAGUGAGGAAUAUUGGUCAAUGGGCGCAGGCCUGAACCAGCCAAGUAGCGUGAAGGAUGACUGCCCUAUGGGUUGUAAACUUCUUUUAUAUGGGAAUAAAGUUUUCCACGUGUGGAAUUUUGUAUGUACCAUAUGAAUAAGGAUCGGCUAACUCCGUGCUAGCAGCCGCGGUAAUCUGAGCGGGCUGGCAAGGC